rnacentral:tRNA from 1 species
UGAAAUAUGGCUUAAGUGGUAAAGCAUCUGCCUACCAAGCACAAAGCUCUGAGUUUAAACCCCAGUUUUACUA